rnacentral:rRNA from 1 species
UACGUAGGGUCCAAGCGUUAUCCGGAAUCACUGGGCGUAAAGCGUGCGUAGGUGGCGUGUUAAGUGUGAUGUUAAAUCGUGGGGCUCAACCCUGUCGGUGCAUCACAUACUGGCAUGCUAGAGGACAGCAGAGGCAAGUGGAAUUUGUAGUGUAGCAGUGAAAUGCGUAGAUAUUACAAGGAACACCAAUGGCGAAGGCAGCUCGCUGGGACGUGACUGACGCUGAGACGCGAAAGCGUGGGGAGCAAACAGG